AUUGAACGCUGGCGGCAGGCUUAACACAUGCAAGUCGAGCGAGCGGCGGACGGGUGAGUAAUGUCUGGGAAACUGCCUGAUGGAGGGGGAUAACUACUGGAAACGGUAGCUAAUACCGCGUACCAUAGGAUGAGCCCAAGUGGGAUUAGGUAGUUGGUGAGGUAACGGCUCACCAAGCCGAAGAUCUGUAGCUGGUCUGAGAGGAUGACCAGCCAAACUGGGACUGCGACACGGCCCAGACUCCUACGGGAGGCAGCAGUGGGGAAUAUUGCGCAAUGGGGUCAACCCUGACGCAGCCAUGCCGCGUGAAUGAAGAAGGCCUUCGGGUUGUAAAGUUCUUUCGGUAGCGAGGCGUUAACUACAGAAGAAGCACCGGCUAACUCCGUGCCAGCAGCCGCGGUAAUUC
rnacentral:rRNA from 1 species